GAUUUGUCAACUGACUCUUCAGUUACAUUGUGUAUUUACUGCACCGUGGUGUUAGUGAGAUUUUGGACAUUGAACAGCUUUAGCUAAUAUCAUCAGCGGCAUUAUGCUAGCUUACAUCCCUACCCCUCCUGCCCUCACCUGCUGUCCUUUUGUUUUUGUUUUUGUUGAUGCACAUUGAGAGACCACAUCUAUUCUGCAUUUCACCAGGAGUCAGCUGAUGGAUUGUGGGUUCAAGGUGUUAUGAUAAAAUGCAGCAUUCCAGUGCAUCCCAACCAUGCAUACAGUCAAGGUUUCUGAUGGAGCUGAGUUUCUCUCUGACAGUCUGCUGAAAGUGUUUGCAAAGUGAUCGGGGGAACAGGGCACAAAGCUAAAGGAUGUAGCUGCCAUUAUGACAGAUGACAUUAAUGCUUGAAGUCCCUCAUCAAAGUGCUCCGCAUCUGUGUGAAAGACAAUUGCAACAUCUUGGUGCAGGAGUUCAUGGACUUGACUGAGGCCACUGCACAGAUUGAGAAAACCACAAUGAACAUCUGUCUCCAGAGAUGCGCCAGGCAAUGACUUUUCUGAUGUUGUUCUUCAAGAUCUGGAUAACGUGACCUUUGCAGUAGCCAUGCUGUUUGGACCUUUUUUAUUCCUUCAACAUGAGUUACCCAUCACAACUCUGCUACACUUUUGAGGUGAUUCAAAGGGUGGUAAUGGAGUUGGAUGCAACUCAGCUCUCAAGAAAAACUCACAACUAAGACAAAACUGCUCCUGCAACGAAGCUCACUGUUAUGCAUGCAAGCUGAUCAGCUCUAGGUGAGAGGACAUUUAAAUCUCACACUUGUUCUGCUGCAUUUUUGAAGCUCAAUUCCAGGAACAGAUCGCAGGGUUCAUUUUUAUAUACUCUGCAACUGCCAUGAGGACGAGCCGUUUUUGUUGUUGUUGUUUGUUUUUCCUUUUGCUCUGUACAGCAUUUUGGCAGCAUUUUUAAAUUUCUCUUUGUAUUUUUUCUUUCUUUUACUAGUGAAGAGAUGUAGCGUGAACAGUUAUACAGUCUAAAUAUCCCAUAUGGGUCGUGUGAAAUGGUAUUUUCAAUUUCAUUCAGUUGAAGUAAAGAACGUUGAAUAUUUCUAAGUGUGCUGUUUUGAACCAAGAUGUCACAGUAUGAUCAGUGCUGUAAUUUUUGACAGUCACUGUAUCAAUGUUAUUUUUGCGUCUCUUGAAUAAAGGUUUUGACCUGCAAGUGCUAAUUUCUUUAGUUAUUGGGGUAAAAUGGGUAAUGUUAAUAGGAAGGUGUUUGCCAAUUCAGUAACCUAAUUUAAUGUUAAUGGAAACUAACAUUACCUCAAAUUGUUUAGUUAUAAUUGUUGUUUAACUGAAUCUUGAUGUCAGAGGCCUUAAAUAGAAUGUUUUGAUUUGUUCUUUCCCAACAUUUUUCAAAAGAAACAGUCUAAUUUCUUUACUGUGAUUGAUUCCAGAGAACACGGAAGAACUGACAUUAUUUAACUGUUGAUUUAUGUAGAUUCAGUGGAGGAGUAAUGUCAGUUUAAUUCUUUAACUACUGCAGUGAAAUUAGACAUUUUGUUUUGAAAGGUUACUGGUGGAUGCCAGCAACCAUCUUGGAAGAGAACAAUACAAUCUGUUAUAAGGCCUCCAUUUGAAAAUUGUGUAUUUGAUACUAGAAUAUAAUAGCAAAAUGUAAUUUUAAGAUAACAUGUAGUAUUUAAGUGACCAAGUAGUAUUGGGUAAAAGUUAUUGAAUCGUGUUGGGAUAACGUGAGAAAAUUGUGAAGGAUUAAAAUAUUCCAAGAGCUCAAAUUACUUCAUCAAAACAUGUUUAAGUCACAUUUUAUCAACACAAAUUGCA
ensembl:lncRNA